AUGAUCAGGAGGGUUCCUACAAAGGAUGCAUGCAUCGCCUCGAAGAUGUGCCUCAGCCGACGGACAGGGAGGCGUACUGCUGGGCAAAAAGAGACCACUGGUCAUGGAGUAGCAUCCCUUCUACACUCCCUUUCAACGUGUACCAUAUGUUGUCGAUCGCAAUGCAUCCAGAGGGAGGAGGGCGCACACUGUUUGUAUCCGUGGAGGGGGGUGGAGCCUCAGACCCCUGGAGCAAGGGCAAAGGCGAUGGUUACUUGGACGUCUUCGGUGAGGACAACCCCUCCCGCACCUACUCCUACGACAUCGAGAGCGGCAAGUGGACGGGGCAUUGCGAGUGGAGUCUACCCUUUUUCGGCCAAGUCCACUACGACAAGGAGCUCGACGCAUGGUUGGGCUCCACAAGGCGCAUGGAGACCCAGAUGGCUACAUCUCCUCCUGCGACGUCAUUUGUCCCAACGAGAGCCCCGCGCAGCCUGCCUGGAAGUUAUGAGCGGAGAGGUUGUUCGAUCCUCAUGCGGAGGCCAUGAGGCUAUACAGGGAUAG
rnacentral:rRNA from 1 species